GGGGCUGUCGGCUAGUUUGGUCUAGGCUUCGUGGCUUGGGCCCACGUGACUUGGGUUCAAAUCCCAGCAGCCCCACCA
rnacentral:tRNA from 1 species